rnacentral:lncRNA from 1 species
AUAUACAUAUGAUAAUUAACUGAGAAUUAAUGAGCCUUAAGAGCUGAAUUCUCCCCCUCCCUCCCUCACCUCCAGGGAAUCCUGAAUUGAUCCUGAGCUUCCUAUGGCUCAACAGUUGGGUAGGUGGGAGUAUCCAGUCACUUUCGAAGGCCCAUCUUCCCUCACAAUGUGAUUGCAUCUGACUGGGGUAGAUUGCCUGCAAUCUGCCUUGAGCACUCCUGCCAUCCAGAAAAUUCUGGCCCAGUGGGAGGAUCACCAAGAACACCAUACUCGGGGAAGGGACAUGGUGCAUGGUGCAUGGAGCUCAAAACCUAGCAGGGGAAAUGACCAACUACACAAAUAAUAUUGAUACAUGGUAAGUGCCUAAGAGAAGCGCCAUGUGAGGUCUAAUGUCUAAAGA